CCCACCCCCUUGGCGAUGAUUGGUCCAUACAUGUGGGUUUUCUUUGUCCCCACCCCCUUCACGAAAUGUCGAGAAGUCAGCGACGACGUGACGUCAUUCGACGGCGCCACACACGUGGGACGAGCUCCUGAGCGACGCCACACACGCGAGCUGGACAACAUGGCAGCAGUGCAGGCUCUCGAGAUUCAGCUGGCGCAAAAGUUAGCGUCUAACGAAAAGCCCAUCCGAACUAAAGCUUUAAAGAAGCUGAGGAAAUAUAUCAACGUCAGGUCACAGAAGGCGACAGAUGGGUUUACGAGUGAAGAGCUGCUGAAGCUAUGGAAGGGUCUGUUCUACUGUUUGUGGAUGCAGGACAAACCCCUUUUACAGGAGGUGCUUUCAAACUCUGUCUCCAGUCUGAUCCACAGCUUUCAUGAUGUUAAUGGACAGUUCUUGUAUGUGGAGAGCUUUUUUAAGACCUUCAAAAGAGAGUGGACCGGCAUUGACAGGCUGCGAAUGGACAAGUUUUUCCAGCUCGUCCGCUUCAUGUUUCGGCAAACCUUUGAGAUGCUCAAGAAAACAAACUGGGAGUCCAGUGUGGUUGAGAGAUUUCUACAACUGUUGACAACAGAACUUCUCCUCAGUAGCAGCAACGCGCCUACUGGUCUGCAGUUACAUGUCCUCGACCUGUAUUUAACUGAACUAGCAGCUGUGGGCUCAGCAGAGCUCACUUCUGACCAGAACCUGAUAUUCAUAAAGCCAUUCUGCAAAACAGCAGCCAAAACCAAGAACCGGACACUUUUCCAGGCCAUCUGCAACAGCAUCUUCAGUACAAUCAUCGACCAGGCUCCUUUUGCCAUUGAAGACCUGAUGAAGGAGAUAAAAGCAACUGAAUCCUCUGACUCAGGCCAGUCCUCUGAAGGGGAAGAGGCGGUGGAGUGCAAAGACCUGCCGAAGUUAAUGAAUGGUCGGAAAUCAUGCCAUGAUGAUGGCGAUAUUGACCCACAGUCAGGUGACUCAGACACAGAACUAUACGAUGAUGACGAAGCUGCACCAGUUUUACAGUUUGACUAUGCAGCUCUUGCUGACAAGCUGCUGGAGAUGUCAAGCCACAGCCACACACACAGCUACAACAGACAGAGACUCUACAAAAUCAUCAAAGUGCUGCGGGAUCUCAGCGAAGGCAUCUUUCCACAGGAUGAAUAUCCAGAAGAAGUCUCCACAGAUGAAGAUGAUGACAUGUUUGCCAGCAGAAAGAAGAUGAAGAAAAGGCGACGUAUUGAAAUGGAAUCAGGUUUCCCUGCAAUGCUGCUUCAACAAUCUCCAUGCUAGACCAGACCUGCGUAAAAUGUUACAAGAACAUUUAUUUUCAUUACCGUCUCUUCUUCUCCUAUAUGUGGCAUUUCAGGCCACAUACUGCAAAACUAUAAGUGAGAGUGACAAAAGCCGAGCAGUGGGGACACUCGACCACAUCAACACCGGGGGCCUAAAGUCCAUCUUGGAGGAUGCCGUUUCGCCAGCUUUCGGGGCCACCAUCAUCAUCAUCCUGACCGUGGUCGUGUCCGGGAGCGCGUAUCUCUGCUUUCUGAAGUACGUGUGUGCUGGCUGCUGCACACCCAUGCAGGUGGUUCCUACUGAGGACUUGGAGUCCAAUAAAGUGGAAGAGCAAGUGUAGCAAAUAAUAUUGGAAUACUAAUUCCUUAAUGGACGAAGGGAAAAACGUUGCAGUGAGAGAGAAAAAAAUGUGACUCUCAGCUGCUGGACUGUCUGAAUUGUAACAACAAAAGUCAUUAAAUUUCCUUUUUAAAAGUCAGUUACCAGAGGUGGAUUGUUCCAGAACAUUUAUUAUCAUGUGUAAAGUGUACAUUAGAGAAGAGAAAUGUAACAGUAUUGUGCAUACAGAGGUUUCAAAAACCUCAUAAUAAUGCUGUGUCAUGUUAACCUGCCUCUCGUCAGAUCCUUGUACUUCGCUGAGCACCACACAAAGAUCUGGAACUUCUCAAUGGGAGAUGUAUUUCAGAAGGCGGGGCCUUGUAAAAAAAUCAUUGUAUGUAAUUGGAUAAACCACUUGUCCGUUAUCUUGAAUGACGUGCUACUUCAACCACUCACAUCGAAAUCAACCCGUGACGCUGAUGACAGCGACGCUGGGAAAUCCAAAACAGAACAGCCAACAUGUUGGAUAACGACAGAGCGAAAAGUUAAGAGAACUUUUACUGAAACAACGCAGCAAUGUCAGUUGACAAUCAAUGUCUUUUGUGCAAAGAAAAAAUGCGAAUAGAAGGUUUCAUUGGGAACAGAAAAAAAAUAUUCCACAAAGUAGCCAACGAAAAAAAGCAUAGACGAACGUCUAACAGAACUUGGUUUGAAAUUGUUGAACGUUCGGGAGAAGCCAUGUCGAAUAUGCUUACGGUGCUUUUGUUUGAUAGGGAAGGUCGAAGACACUCUGUCCACUUUUAAAAGAUGGCAAAAAAACUGAAUUAACCAAGUUCUGAACGGUCAUCUCCUUCGGCGACAGCGACAUCAGAGAGUGCAAAGGUGUCUGUCGCACAUAAACGGGACAGGGUGCCGACUUCAUCAAACUCCAUCUCACCCUUAAAUAAUUAAUAUUCGAUAGAUUCGACAAAACAGUUGCAAUAGCAGAGUCAAUGUUAGCACACGACUCCUCGCUGCGUGCCGCCAUUGUUGUUUGAAUCAAACAGUCGCUUCGGCCAACGUCACAUCUACGAAAUCCCGCCCGGCGAUCCUGAUUGGUUCAUUAUUUAUUGCUAUCUUGAAGGAGUUUGCAUUGCCCUCGAUCCCAUGUGUGGAGCUUAGCGAACUACAAGGAUCUGGCAAGAGUCAGGUUAGUGACAUGAGCAAUGUCGAACAAAAAGUUGGCGAUUGUAUUAUUAUUUUUUGGCGCUUUUGCAUUGGCCGAUCUGAAAAUAAACUACAUCUGAAGAUUCUAGUGGGAACUCUCAUUCAACCCUUUUUUGAUUACGCAUGCACCUCGUAGCACCCCAGCACCUCCAAAACCCUCAAAUCUAGACUCCAAACAUCCCAGAACAAGCUAGUCAGAUUACUUCUAGACCUCCACCCCAGAUCACACCUCACUCCUACCCACUUCUCCAAAGUGGGCUGGCUCAGGGUGGAGGACAGAGUAAAACAACUUGCACUGAGCCUAGUCUGUAAAAUUCGCUACACCUCCCUGAUACCGAAGUACAUGUCAAACUACUUCCAUAACGUAAAUGACCGCCAUAACCACAACACCAGGGGGAGCUCCACAAACCACGUUAAACCCAGAUUCCGAUCUAACAAAGGUCUUAACUCAUUCUCCUUCUAUGCCACAUCAAUAUGGAAUGCACUCCCAACAGGUGUAAAAGAAAGUGCAUCUCUAUACUCCUUCAAGACUGCACUAAAAGAACACCUCCAGGCAACUACAACCCUAGACUAACACAUCCCACCUCCCCGGAUAGUAAAUAAUCAAAUGUAAAUAAUCAAAUUUAUAUACUUGUUCUUAUGCUUUCUGAGCUCACUAUGUUCACUGCUCGCUGUACAUAUCCUACCAAGUCAGACCUACACUGUUACAAUGUUCAUUUCUCAGAUUAUAUAAUUGUUGAUGACUGAAGUGCUGAUAUCAACCAAACCUAAACCACCCGCUCCAACCCCCUCCACAUCCCACCCCCCGGAUUGUAAAUAAUUCAAUGUAUAUACUCUGAUGAUUAACUUGUGAGAUGACUGUAUUAUGCUGAUAGUAUAUAUUUGUACCAUGAAUUGAUUAACGUGUACCCCGAUUUAAACAAGUUGAAAAACUUAUUCGGGUGUUACCAUUUAGUGGUCAAUUGUACGGAAUAUGUACUGUACUGUGCAACCUACUAAUAAAAGUUUCAAUCAAUCAAUCAAUCCCAAAAUCCUCUGUGCAGAGCGGCCCCGGCAAGGUGGGGCGUGGAACGCCGCUAAGGGGAGAAAAGGAGGAAGCAUGCGGGAGAAGUGUGUUUGUAGUAGAUGAGAGGAAUUGUUUUUUCCAGACAUUUUCUGAAAAUGUUAUCACAAUCCAUCCAUAACUUCUUAAGUUAUGUUGC